CACGCUACUGCAUCAGGCAGCUGGGAGCUUAGGCAAGGAACUGCCUGCCGCCUGGGUGGUGUCCCCCACCCAAGGAUGAGGUGCUGGGGAGAAUGGGAGCCUCAGGAGCAGGUACUGGGAAAGCUGCUUGGCUCUGUACCCUCUCCAGAGGCUUCUGAGAGUAUCACUGUGAGCAUCUGACUCCGUGCCUACCCUGUCCACUGGAUAUGUCAGCCCUGCACUGAGGGACAGACAGGUGGAAGGGACAAGAAAGAGCCUCAGCCAGGAGGGAGGGCCUGACCUCAGCAGGCGUGUGACCUCACCUCUCUGGGCCUUCCCCAGAUGGGGAAACUAAUAGUACCUACCUCACGGAGCGGUUGUGAGCACUAAAAUAAGAUGUUGUAUGUGUCUGCCUU